rnacentral:rRNA from 1 species
AGAGUUUGAUCAUGGCUCAGGAUGAACGCUAGCUACAGGCUUAACACAUGCAAGUCGAGGGGCAGCAUGAUUGAAGCUUGCUUCAAUUGAUGGCGACCGGCGCACGGGUGAGUAACGCGUAUCCAACCUUCCGUACACUCAGGGAUAGCCUUUCGAAAGAAAGAUUAAUACCUGAUGGUAUGAUGAGAUUGCAUGAUAGCAUCAUUAAAGAUUUAUCGGUGUACGAUGGGGAUGCGUUCCAUUAGGUAGUAGGCGGGGUAAUGGCCCACCUAGCCGACGAUGGAUAGGGGUUCUGAGAGGAAGGUCCCCCACAUUGGAACUGAGACACGGUCCAAACUCCUACGGAGGCA